UACGUAGGGUGCAAGCGUUGUCCGGAAUUAUUGGGCGUAAAGAGCUCGUAGGCGGUUUGUCGCGUCGACUGUGAAAACCCGAGGCUUAACCUCGGGCCUGCAGUCGAUACGGGCAUCACUGGAGUUCGGCAGGGGAGACUGGAAUUCCUGGUGUAGCGGUGAAAUGCGCAGAUAUCAGGAGGAACACCGGUGGCGAAGGCGGGUCUCUGGGCCGAUACUGACGCUGAGGAGCGAAAGCGUGGGGAGCAAACAGG
rnacentral:rRNA from 1 species